GAUUAUGGCUCAGGAUGAACGCUGGCGGCGUGCUUAACACAUGCAAGUCGAACGAAGCCAAAAGGAAGCUUGCUUCUUGAAGCUUAGUGGCGGACGGGUGAGUAACGCGUGAGCAACCUGCCCUUCAGUGGGGAAUAACACAGAGAAAUCUGUGCUAAUACCGCAUAACGUCUUCUUGCCGCAUGACAGGAAGACCAAAGGAUUUAUUCGCUGAAGGAUGGACUCGCGUCCGAUUAGCUGGUUGGUGAGGUAACGGCCCCACCAAGGCGACGAUCGGUAGCCGAACUGAGAGGUUGAUCGGCCACAUUGGGACUGAGACACGGCCCAGACUCCUACGGGAGGCAGCAGUGGGGAAUAUUGGGCAAUGGGCGAAAAAGCCUGACCCAGCAACGCCGCGUGAAGGAAGACGGUCUUCGGAUUGUAAACUUCUUUGAUUGGGGAAGAAACAAAAUGACCUACCCAAAGAACAAGUCACGGCUAACUACGUGCCAGCAGCCGC
rnacentral:rRNA from 1 species